rnacentral:rRNA from 1 species
CCUACGGGAGGCUGCAGUGAGGAAUAUUGGUCAAUGGGCGCGAGCCUGAACCAGCCAAGUAGCGUGAAGGAUGACUGCCCUACGGGUUGUAAACUUCUUUUAUCAAGGAAUAAAGUGAGGGACGUGUGCCGUUUUGUAAGUACUUUAUGAAUAAGGAUCGGCUAACUCCGUGCCAGCAGCCGCGGUAAUACGGAGGAUCCGAGCGUUAUCCGGAUUUAUUGGGUUUAAAGGGAGCGUAGAUGGGUGGGUAAGGCAGUUGUGAAAGUUUGCGGCUCAACCGUAAAAUGGCGAUUGAUACUGGCUGUCUUGAGUACACGUGAGGUAGGCGGAAGUCGUGGUGUAGCGGUGAAAUGCUUAGAUAUCACGCAGAACCCCGAUUGCGAAGGCAGCAUGCCGGCUGCCUACUGACGCUGAUGCACGAAAGCGUGGGGAUCGAACAGGAUUAGAUACCCGUGUAGUC